GGGGAUUUAGCUCAGCGGCAUAAGUACCUGCCUUGCAAGCAGGCGGUCGGUUCGAUCCCCA
rnacentral:tRNA from 1 species